UAUUUUAAUACCUGUGACGAUAAAUACGUCUCACCCCUAUUACCCUCAUAUUAUGUUACUCUAUGCUUAUAGUCAUAAUGUCUGACGCAAUUGACAGCGAUGAUAAUAAUAAACUAUUUUCGUACCGAAUUAAACAGUUUUCUCAACAAACACCUACUGAUGACCACUAUUCGAACAAAAACGUGAAUUCUUUAAUUGCAAAAAUUAGUAAUAAAAGGGAUGAACCUUUUAAAUGUCGAACAAUUGGAAUUUUGGAAAGCAAAAAUGGGCAUUAUUAUCUAAAAGAGAUGGACACCAACACAAAAGACCAGAAACACAAAGUUCGCAUUUCGACCACUUACUUAAAAAAGCCCCUACCUUCUUUAGUGAUGCCAAAUACUGUACAACUAUUUGGAAGUGUACAAUGGGUUGAUCAACCUGUUUUUUAUAUAAACA